rnacentral:lncRNA from 1 species
GCAGAGUUCGGAGGCUGUUACCAUGACAUAGCACAGAGGGCAUCUUUUCUCAUCAGCUGAACCUAGAACUCCGUGAGCCCUUCCAUGCCUACUCUGCAGGCGUCCCCCAACUCAGGGGAGAGUUCCGAUAUGUAAUGACUGCCCUUCCUCCAUCUGUGAUUUUCCGCGCUCCUGUAACUUGUUACUCUCAGAUCAGAUCUCCUGGGCCCGACCCCCAAGCCUCCUGCAUUCCGUCGGCGUCGGCCUCUUUCCCGCUCUGCUGUGUCUGCCUAGCUGUUUCUCACCCUUUUCCUUCCUCGGGUCAGCGUCUGCAUCAAGAGUGAGUCUUCAAUCGUCUGCCGGAUGUUUUCAUGAUGCGGGCCAAUUUUGAAGCUCCUGGACUUCGUUCGCGCCCUGGAAUUGGGAUCUUCUCACGUGCCCUGUGGGUUUUGAUCUCAGGUGGACAGAGAAGACUCCACCCGCCCACUCGCCUCCCUCUGGGAGGUCACGUGGCCUUCACAUCCCCUUCCUCAGACCAGCUUCCCGCUCACAGGGUCAGAGGCGGUGGCCCCUGAACCAUCCAACCGCAGGGCCGGAGGCCUUGUGUCACUCAGCCAGUGGCCGCAGCAGUAACGUGGCUCUGCAGAGGAGCUGGAGAGGAGACGGGGACUCUCCAGGCCCAGGUGCGCCCUGGGCACCCUCCCAAUCUUCCUCCUCACCACUGGGAGGAUGUGGCACUCU